AUGUUUUCGUAUAGCUAUUCUGCAAUUAGUUUAUGCUUGGGAAACAGUGCCAGUGUUUUUAACCUAUGGUCUAAUUUAUUUUUAUCAUUACACUGAUUUAUUUCUUCAUUUCUACUUUUUCGUGAUUGGCCCUAGGUAUUUUUUUAGGGGUUUUCAAUUUUAUUUUAUUUUUUGAAAAAAACAAUCUACACGUGCCUAGCCAUUGGUUCCACAUUUUGCAUCUUGAACAGUCCACGUGCCAAGCCUUUGGUUCCACAUUUUGCAUAUUAAACAAUCCACAUGCCAUGGCUAUGUUUCCAUAGUUUGCAAUCUUUGCUAGACAUACUCACUUCACCUAUUUUAUAUCUCUGUAAUUUCACCUAAGUUGUUAUUAUGACAGUCUAUAUUCGAGAACAUGUUUUAAGGUCGAGGAAAGAGCAAUAUGAUCUUUAGAUUUUGAGAUAUAGCCAUCGACAUAUCUAUAUAUUUUCUGAUCUGAAGCUUCUUUCCAGAAUUUCAUCCAUGAUCACACAAAGAAAUCUUGUUCCAUAAAUUAGUCUGAGUGUAGUAACCUCUGGAUAAUGCAGCAAACAUUACUCAGCAAAACCUUAAGGAAAACCUAUCAUUAUGUAAAUUUUGCCCUCCUACAUUUUGUCCCCCUCUGAAAAAAUUUUUAAAAAAAACAGAGAACCUAAAAUCUACCAUGUAGAAUCAGCCCUAAGAGAUUCACAGUUUUUGUUUUUGUUUCCAUUAAAGGGAAACCCUCAUAAACAAAAAAAGAGAGAAAAAUGUGCCUUGCUUAUCCUUCCACAUUUUGCAUGCAUGCCUGCGUCUACGCAAGGACAGUUGGCUUCAACAAUAUUUCUUGAUGCUACCAGUCAAAGAGUUUAGAACACGCCGAAGGAGAGUGUAGAGGGAUUGAGUGGCAAUAUUGUAAGUGUUGAGGUAGUAGAUGGCGGGUUGUUGUGCUCGAGUGGAGUUUGCUUGGAAUCCAUGGGGAUAAAAAAUGAUGAUUGUUACAUUGUUAAUGUUGCAGUACACGUAGGCUAUUAAAUUUUGGUUUACACCAUGUGACAUGUACAUGGCCUUGACUUCCUGACUUCGCAUUCAUGUUUUCGUAUAGCUAUUCUGCAAUUAGUUUCUACUUGGGAAACAGUGCCAGAGAUUUUUACCUAUGGUCUAAUUUAUUUUUAUCAUUAAACUGAUUUAUUUCUUCAUUUCUACUUUUUCGUGAUUGGCCCUUGGUAUUUUUGCUAGGGGUUUUCAAUUUUUUAAAAGAAAAAAAUAGUCUACAUGUGCCUAGCCUUUGGUUCCACAUUUUGCAUCUUGAACAGUCCACAUGCCAUGGCUAUGUUUCCACAUUUUGCAUAUCAAACAGUCCACGUGCCAUGGCUAUGUUUCCACAUUUUGCAAUCACCUAUUUUAUACCUCUGUAAUUUCACCUAAGCUGUUAUUAUGACAGUCUCUAUAUUCAAGAACAUGUUUUAAGGUUGAGGAAAGAGCAAUAUGAUCUUUAGAUUUUGAGAUAUAGCCAUCGACAUAUCUAUAUAUUUUCUGAUCUGAAGCUUCUUUCCAGAAUUUCAUGCAUGAUCACCCAAAGAAAUCUUGUUCUGUAAAUUAGUCUGAGUGUAGUAACCUCUGGAUAAUGCAGCAGACAUUACUCGGCAAAACCUUAAGAAAAACCUAUCAUUAUGUAAAUUCUGCCCUCCUACAUUUUGUCCCCCUCUGAAAAAAUUCAAAAAAAAACAGAGAACCUAAAAACUACCAUGUAGAAUCAGCAGUAAGAGAUUCACAGUUUUUGUUUUCGUUUCCAUUAAAUGGAAACCCUAGUAAACAAAAAAAAAGAGAGAAAAAUAUGCCUUGCUUAUCCUUCCACAUUUUGCAUACAUGCCUGCCAUCCACGCAAGGACGGAUGGCUUCAACAAUAUUUCUUGAUGCUGCCAGUCAAAGAAUUUAGAACACGCCAAAGGAGAUUGUAGAGGGAUUGAGGGACAAAUAAGAAAUAAUCAAAAGCUACAUUAUUGGGUACUGUGAAGAAGGAUCCCAUAACUGUACUGAUACCGUUCUAGUACUGGUACCCAUAACUGUACUGGUAUCGUUCUAGUACUGGUACUAGUGCAGAUACCUACUCGGUUUUGAUAUUACUAUCCUGGGUAAUUUUUCGGAUCUCCUUCCAUCAAUUUGUUGACUCAUUGUUUGGUGUGCAGCUCCUAAGCUUGAGCUUGUGAUAGUUCUAGAACCUUGAACAGACUAUAAGCUACUCAAAAAUUCAAUCAACAAGCCUUUCUUAUUGAUCUCUGCUAUUUUUUUGCAUUAGGCAGUUGCUUUUUUUUUUCAUUAGGUAGGGACUCCAGCUGCAUUGCAGCUCUUGUUUCAUAAUAGUUUCAGCUUCAGCUCUUGUUUCAUAAUAGUUUCAGCUUGAACUGGACUGAAACCUUU